AGCGCGCCGCCGCGCAACGCACGCAACAAGCGCGCCCGUUCGUGCGCGCCUGCUCCCGCCUACCCUCCCGCCUCUGGGCGCGGCCCCUCUCGCGUCCUCGCUGGACACCGUCCGCUUGUGUCCUGCCCGCCGUGCGGAGCGAAGGGCGCUGUGGGCCGGUUUCUGUCGCCUCUCGCCUCGGUGACGCCCCGAGGCCACCGUCGUGCAGUGCCGUGAGGGCAGGUGUGAGGGACGGACACAGCCGCACAGUGCCCCGGCACCUGCUCGCUGCGCCUGGCCCUGUCGGCGCCGGAGGGGGAGAGCUGGCGCCUCCCGGUCCCACCCUCCCUGUAUUAUUAAUCCACCUUUGCGGGGCUUGCUUUUGGUGUUCGGGAGCUUUUUUCCCUGAGCGCGGCCGGUCUCAGGUGUCAGAUCACUGUGCAGGAAAAAUCAAACCACUGUGAGAGCCGGUGUAAAGCUGUGAGUUGUUACCAGUGGUGCGACAGCUGCUUUCCCGGCCCUCCGUCUCCCACCCUCAGCCUGGAGCGGCUCUGGGGAGUCCUGGCGGGAGAUGGGCAUGUGGUGAUCGUACCCGUGGCAGACGUGUUCCUCAGAGUAAUGGCCACAACGUCCAGGGUGUGUUUUACAGCCUUGCCUUCAGAUGCUGUCAUGCCAAGGUUCAACGUUAAUAGGUGGUUGUACCAAAGCGCCUCACGUGCAAUUAACUAUGUUCGCGCUGGUCACUAAGAAGCGCUGGGUGCUCAGCUCGCAUGGUGGCCACGCCUCCGGCCUCUGGCACCUUGCCUCAGCCACCGGCCCGAUCACAACAAACUUGUGUUUCCUAUCAUUGUCCUUUGGCUGCUGCGGACCAAUGGCUUGCAGUAUUUAUUUGCAGCGAGAUAGCUUUUAGAAGUUACCCGGGCGGGCACAACACCGCAUUGUUUUACGUGCUGUGCAAGAGCAGAGCAAACGGUUUGUACUCCAGAAAGGCAGCUAUAAAGCAGCACAUGUGCUGAGUUUGAAAUAGAGGACUGAAGAGAGCAGGAUGAAUCAUUUCCCAGUGUUUUCACCUUUUGGGUAAGAUGCUGAGUGGGAGCAUAGCAAGUGGUAUAUGAAUUAAGAUGACUACUGGAAACUAGGAUCAGGGACCCUGCUCAGACUUCCGUGCUGCUCCAAAAGCAUCAGCCUCCUUUCAACCCCACUGGUGCUGCAUAUAAGCCUUGCAUCCUUCGUAGACCUACAUAAUGUAGCAUGUGAAAAGAAAUAAGGAGAGGUACAAAUAUACUCAAUUUUUAUACGCAAAUAAUAGGAAACAGUUCUGGUGCAUGGAUGUAGCACCUUAAUAUUGUUUCAGUUAUGUCAUUAUAGGUGCAAUAUCAAUAGAGCUAUCUAUAUCUGCAUUAGGGAUUUGCUCCUAUUUAAUUACAUUAAAGUAAAACUAGGUAAUUCAGUGCUAAUGUUGUACAGGCCUCAGCAGAAAUUGCCUACCAUCUUUUUGUGAGGUACUUGAUGCAAAAUGCUUAAGGCUUUGGUCUUUCUCCAGGCUUUUGCUUUUAUUGCUAGUAAAAGGAUAAGUUUUAUCCCAAGUAGGCAUAUUAAAUGUCAACAGGGUUGUUGUCUCCUCUUUCUUUUAGCUAUCUUUUUGCAUGCCUUUCUCAUGUGGCUUUUGGGGGUGUUUCCAUUUUCUACCUUUUGGCUUCUCAUUUCUAUUUUCCUUUCGCCUUAAACUCCAGAUCUUUUUUCCCUCUUCUCAGAUCAAUCUGUCUAUGCAUUUUUAAUGAAUCAUUUACUGUGACAUAUGAGCACUGCAGCUACAGUGUCAGGGACUUAAGCAUCUGCGGAGAGCUUCUGUGCUGGGGUAGCAGCAGCGAGAUGAAAUGGAUGUGAUCUUAGUUUCAUCCUUUUUUGUUCACGUGGGAUGGUACUUUGCCUAGAGGCAGCACAAAUAUAACUUUCCUUCUAGGGAAGAAUAAGAAGAAUCAAAACCCAGAGAUGUCUCAUUUUUCUCUUCAGAGCACUGCUAUGAAUAGAGGAUUUAAACUGUGUCUCUGCUAUUCCACACUUAACCACUGAGUCAAUGCUCUUCUUGUAGAAACACCAUUGUAGGUAAGAGGCUAUUGUGCAGCACUCAUUCAUAUUAUCUAUACGAGCAUUUUUAAAAUGUAGAAUGGGAAACAUGGGGUUUGUAAUAUCAGGAGUAACAUUAACAGAUAUAAUCCUUGUCAUUAUCUCAUUUAUCUUCCCUUAUGGUCCAAGUAAUUCUCGCUUUGAAGUUGUGAAGGAAAGAGGACGACCUUUAGACGCUAUCUUUACAUAACCAAAACAAAAAUGACCAAAGAGGCAAGAAAUGGAUCUCUUUCAGGGAUCUCUUCCUUACCAGUCAGCUGGUAGAAAGUGCAAAUACUGGAGGGCAACCUAAUUAAAAAAAAAAAAAAAAAAUAAGUAAAUAA